UUCAUGCUUUUGAGCACUUUUUCAUAGAACUUUUUUUGCUCUUUCACUCUCUCACCUUAAAACCCUCCAAAGUCUUUCCUCAACACUUUCUUUCACUAGUUGGACAUUUUAGAGAAAGAAAGAAAGAGAGAGAGAGAAAGAAAGAGACUUUCCCUGAUAGCUUGAGUAUUCUUGAGAAGGAAUUCAACUACAAAUCCACCAAGGUUCCAACAAGACCUCACAUUUUCAUUUGGAGCAAUAGUCGAAGUUGGAGUCGAGUUAAGAUUCAACAAAUACCGAUUCGGAGGUAGUUGGGACCUAGAUUGAGUUUUUCACAUGUGCUCGCCCUCUUGGUAGGUACUAUGGCAUCUUAGUGGCUGUACCUUCACCAACGGUCACUCUGCUAACGGUCAAGAGUUUGUUACCUGUGAACAUGUAUAUGUAAUGUAAUCCGCUAGGAUCCAUGAUAUAAGUCAAAUAUGUAUAUUUGACUACUGAUUCCACUAUGAGUUAGCAAACAGGUGUCAUUAUUUUGACAUAAUAAA
rnacentral:sRNA from 10 species